rnacentral:rRNA from 1 species
ACGCUCGACACCUACGGGACGCAGCAGUGGGGAAUAUUGCACAAUGGGGGAAACCCGUGAUGCAGCGACGCCGCGUGAAGGAAGAAGUAUCUCGGUAUGUAAACUUCUAUCAGCAGGGAAGAAAGUGACGGUACCUGACUAAGAAGCCCCGGCUAACUACGUGCCAUCAGCCGCGGUAAUCUGAGCGGGCUGGCAAGGC